rnacentral:rRNA from 1 species
AGUGAACGCUGGCGGCAGGCCUAACACAUGCAAGUCGAGCGGCAGCGGGUCCUUCGGGCUGCCGGCGAGCGGCGGACGGGUGAGGAAUGCAUCGGAAUCUGCCCUGUCGUGGGGGAUAACCUAGGGAAACUUAGGCUAAUACCGCAUACGACCCACGGGUGAAAGCGGGGGAUCGCAAGACCUCGCGCGAUAGGAUGAGCCGAUGUCCGAUUAGCUAGUUGGCGGGGUAAAGGCCCACCAAGGCGACGAUCGGUAGCUGGUCUGAGAGGAUGAUCAGCCACACUGGGACUGAGACACGGCCCAGACUCCUACGGGAGGCAGCAGUGGGGAAUAUUGGACAAUGGGCGCAAGCCUGAUCCAGCCAUGCCGCGUGGGUGAAGAAGGCCUUCGGGUUGUAAAGCCCUUUUGUCCGGGAAGAAAUCGUCUGGGCUAAUACCCCGGGCGGAUGACGGUGCCGGAAGAAUAAGCACCGGCUAACUUCGUG